rnacentral:rRNA from 1 species
UACGUAGGGGGCAAGCGUUGUCCGGAAUCAUUGGGCGUAUAGCGCGUGUAGGCGGUUCGGUAAGUCUGCUGUGAAAGUCCAGGGCUCAACCCUGGGAUGCCGGCGGAUACUGUCGGACUAGAGUACGGAAGAGGCGAGUGGAAUUCCCGGUGUAGCGGUGAAAUGCGCAGAUAUCGGGAGGAACACCAAUUGCGAAGGCAGCUCGCUGGGACGUCACUGACGCUGAGACGCGAAAGCGUGGGGAGCAAACAGG